UACGGGGGGGGGCAAGCGUUGUUCGGAAUUACUGGGCGUAAAGGGCUGGUAGGCGGCCAACUAAGUCGGAUGUGAAAUCCCCAGGCUUAACCUGGGAACUGCAUCCGAUACUGGUUGGCUUGAAUCCGGGAGAGGGAUGCAGAAUUCCAGGUGUAGCGGUGAAAUGCGUAGAUAUCUGGAGGAAUACCGGUGGCGAAGGCGGCAUCCUGGACCGGCAUUGACGCUGAACAGCGAAAGCUAGGGGAGCAAACGGG
rnacentral:rRNA from 1 species